rnacentral:lncRNA from 1 species
UGGGUUUUCAUUUUAGGACAUCGAUGGUGAUUGAUUUCUGGGAUCCAACUUGAUAGCGUUUUGAGAAAGUGAAGGAAGAUGAAGAAAAAAAAGGCAAGGAAAAUACAAAAGUUCUGGGUUCUCGUAGAAAUCACCCAAAUGGUGAUGGUUUAUGGAUUGUGUAACAAAAGAGAGAAAAAAAUGGGUUAGGAAGAAGGGAGGAUGACGAUGAUAAUAGUUGUUGAUGAGAUUGAAGGUUGAUGAAUUGAUGAUGAUGAUGAUGAGAGUUGGAUGUUGAUCAAUCUGGUGGAAGCAAGAGAUAAGAACAGAAAAAUGGAACACAAAAGAGGGGAAUUAAUU